UUGCCCUCUGUCCCACGCGUGGCUGGUGGGAUGGAGGAAGCGUUUGAUGAAGUGAUCUGUAGUCUCUGUCGCUGCUCUCUUGGGUUUGGUAGCACAAUCUUAUUCCUAAUUUCUGGUUUCUUUAGGGAGAAGGACAGAGAGCAGGGAAUUAACAUUCGGUGACACACCCUGUGGCUCAGAGAUCCCAGGAACAGUGUGAAGAUGUGGCUUCUGAAGUUUGACCCUGACGGUUUCCUGUGGGUGGGCAGGUGGUCUGUUCCACAUGAUGAGUUGUUGGAAAGAACUUAUAUGAAUUAUUGUAUUCUGCGUUGCAUAUAUAAAUACUUAAGUCUGUGCUUAAUAAUAUCCUUGAUGUAAAAAUCCUAUGAACACAUGAACUGCUAAAUCAGCCUUUCAGAUAAGUUCAAUGGGCUUGUCAUCCCACAGACAGUUUUGAACAGCCUGCCCUCUCUCCAGGCUACAAAACUUGCAUCACAGAGACAGUAAAACUAAU